AGGUUGACAAGUGAAGUUUUAUGAAUAUGAUUUCUAUAUCAUCUCUUAAGGUUGCUGCAGUAAAUAUCCAUAAGCUGCUACUAAUCAAAGCAUUAAUAAAAUCAUCAUAAUGUUAAGGACAUUGCUACAUAUCUCUUUCCCUGGUGAUGCACUCCUGGACUGAAAUACUUGGAUUAUCUGCCGUAAAGAGCAUCGUUUGAUUCAAAUCAAGAUACAGAGUCAUGAUCGAGUGACUCUACCUGAGGUCAAACGGCCUAUGGCUUUAAAUCCCAGAUCACCCUUUGUUCUUUUAUUGGAUGAGGAUGACUUCAGAAGAUGGGCAAUAGAGGAACAAACUUAAAAUUUUCGCCCAAGUUACUCAUCAUGGAUGUAAAACCUGUUCCUGGGUGUAAAUUCCCAGGCCACAGGAAUACAUGUUACAUAUGCUGGUAUGACAUGGCUUUCAGUUUUUGUUACACAAACACAAGCAAAAGACUAAAUGACAUUUUUGUUGUUGUUGUUUUUGAGACAGAGUCUCGCUCUGUCACCAGGAUGGAGUGUAGUGGCGAGAUCUCCACUCACUGCAACCUCCACCUCCCGGGUUCAAGCGAUUCUCCUGCCUCAGCCUCCUGAGUAGCUGGGACUACAGGCACAUGUCACCACUCCCAUCUAAUUUUUGUAUUUUUAGUAGAGACAGGGU
rnacentral:lncRNA from 1 species